rnacentral:rRNA from 1 species
UGGGGAAUAUUGCACAAUGGGGGAAACCCUGAUGCAGCGACGCCGCGUGAACGAAGAAGGUAUUCGUAUCGUAAAGUUCUGUCCUAUGGGAAGAUAAUGACAGUACCAUAGAAGAAAGCUCCGGCUAAAUACGUGCCAGCAGCCGCGGUAAUACGUAUGGAGCGAGCGUUGUCCGGAAUUAUUGGGCGUAAAGGGUACGCAGGCGGUUUAAUAAGUCGAAUGUUAAAGAUCGGGGCUCAACCCCGUAAAGCAUUGGAAACUGAUAAACUUGAGUAGUGGAGAGGAAAGUGGAAUUCCUAGUGUAGUGGUGAAAUACGUAGAUAUUAGGAGGAAUACCAGUAGCGAAGGCGACUUUUUGGACACAAACUGACGCUGAGGUACGAAAGCGUGGGGAGCAAACAGG